rnacentral:misc_RNA from 1 species
GAUGAAGAACGCAGCGAAAUGCGAUAAGUAAUGUGAAUUGCAGAAUUCAGUGAAUCAUCGAAUCUUUGAACGCACAUUGCGCCCGCGAGUAUUCUCGCGGGCAUGCCUGUCCGAGCGUCAUUUCAACCCUCAGGGCCCGCCUGCUUGCAGGCGCGGCGCUGGUGUUGGGGAUCGGCUACCCUGCCGUCCCCCAAAUACAGUGGCGGUCUCGCUGCAGCCUCCCCUGCGUAGUAGCAACACUCGCAUGCGGAGCGCGGCGCGGCCACGCCGUAAAACCCCCGACUUUCUGAACGUUGACCUCGGAUCAGGUAGGAAUACCCGCUGAACUUAAGCAUAUCAAUAAGCGGAGAA